rnacentral:rRNA from 1 species
GCUAUACAUGCAGUCGAGCGAAUGGAUUAAGAGCUUGCUCUUAUGAAGUUAGCGGCGGACGGGUGAGUAACACGUGGGUAACCUGCCCAUAAGACUGGGAUAACUCCGGGAAACCGGGGCUAAUACCGGAUAACAUUUUGAACCGCAUGGUUCGAAAUUGAAAGGCGGCUUCGGCUGUCACUUAUGGAUGGACCCGCGUCGCAUUAGCUAGUUGGUGAGGUAACGGCUCACCAAGGCAACGAUGCGUAGCCGACCUGAGAGGGUGAUCGGCCACACUGGGACUGAGACACGGCCCAGACUCCUACGGGAGGCAGCAGUAGGGAAUCUUCCGCAAUGGACGAAAGUCUGACGGAGCAACGCCGCGUGAGUGAUGAAGGCUUUCGGGUCGUAAAACUCUGUUGUUAGGGAAGAACAAGUGCUAGUUGAAUAAGCUGGCACCUUGACGGUACCUAACCAGAAAGCCACGGCUAACUACGUGCCAGCAGCCGCGGUAAUACGUACGUGGCAAGCGUUAUCCGGAAUUAUUGGGCGUAAAGCGCGCGCAGGUGGUUUCUUAAGUCUGAUGUGAAAGCCCACGGCUCAACUGUGGAGGGUCAUUG